UACGUAGGGGGCUAGCGUUGUCCGGAAUCAUUGGGCGUAAAGCGCGCGUAGGCGGCCCGGUAAGUCCGUUGUGAAAGUCAAAGGCUCGACCUUUGAAAGCCGAUGGAUACUGCCGGGCUGGAGUCCGGAAGAGGCGAGUGGAAUUCCUGGUGUAGCGGUGGAAUGCGCAGAUAUCAGGAGGAACAUCAGUGGCGAAGGCGGCUUUCUGGACCAAUACUGACGAUCAGGUGCGAAAGCGUGGGGAGCAAACAGG
rnacentral:rRNA from 1 species